rnacentral:lncRNA from 1 species
GGAGUCUAUUUGAUAUUUGAUGCUUUAAAAAAGUGGUUCAUGUGUUCGCAUGCAUGUUUUUUUUCACUAGUAUCUCCUGCCAUGAUGCUCGAGGUGCACGUUGUUCAUCCUCGCUCAGAAAUCUGCGUUCAUCUCAAUCUGCUCCUCUAUGAAAUGUCCUGCCCUUCAGUUGAGUGCAGGUCAUGUAAUCUUGUUUGUGCAUGUCAACAUGAUCUAUAACAAACAGCUGUGAUUGUGCAGCUCUUAGAAAAGCUGUUUUUUUUCUCUCUGACUAUGAGAUAACACUUUUUCCUGUGACAAGAAAAGCCUCAGUGUUCAAAGAAGUGACCACAAAGCUGUUGCAAAAACACUUAUUAAGUAAGAAAGCGCAAAAUUAAACAUGUGACAUAAUACUCCUUACAUAAAGUGAUGGGUGUGAAUAAAUACGGCUCUGCAGAGUUAGAGAUCUCUGCUCUUUGUUGACGUUGCUGUUUUCGGGUGGAGUAAAUUUGGUUAAUGAAGUGUUCAUGAACCAAAGUUUUUCAGUCGCUCUCCGAUUCUUAAAAGUUUUCUGAGUCUUUGAACCGAGUGCACCCACUGAAUCUUGUUGUUUUCCCUCCUGACAGGCUGAAAACACAGUCUGUUUUUUCCACAAUAAAACCAUAAAACUUGCCAGAAAAUGUCGAUUUUUUAACACUCUAGCCAGAAGAAGGGAUUUUCCAUUUUUCUGCAACAAAUCAACAAAUCAAUAGAGUGAUGUAUCUGCCUUUUCCCAACAUCUAUUAAAGCCGAAGCUGCUGCACUGCCAGGCCUCAACUUUUAUAAGAGCGGGGAAAAGAUGAUAGCGUGAAGACAUGUAACCCAUGUAGACUAACAGAGCAGAAUUUGUUUGGUCUGAAUUUAGCUACAUGAGAUUAGUAAAACUGCAUAUGUUUAAAAAUGAUGAGCGUGAUCUUUAAGACGAGAAAACAGAGAAAAGCUGAUACAAACACAAACAGAAGAGUUGUUUUACUCUUGAAAAGCAACGCUACCAUCUGAACAUGUCCACUACAGACAACAACAGUGAGACAUCUUCUGAAAGGACACCUCCACACCGUGUGUAGGGGAGCUGGAGUCUCCUGUUGGACCACUUUGUCAUCAGAACUGACUCUGAUGGGAAUCCACUGAUAUAUCAAAACCAGUGAGUUAGAGACGUAAGAUCUUAGCGACACAGUAACAGACACCACGACCUUUAGGAAGAGUAAAAAACAGGGCAACAUAAAAGCUAACGCACUAGUCUGCAUGAGCAACAAGAGACACUGACACAACAAUAUUUCAGGCUUGCAGCGUCAUGUUUUCUUGUAGCACAAUGUUGGAUGACUGUUGGUAAGAUACUGGAUGAAUGUUGGUAAGAUACUGGAUGAAUGUUGGUUAGAUGUUGGAUGAAUGUUGGAUGAAUGUUGAGUUAGAUGUUGGAUGAAUAUUGGAUGAUUGUUGGUUAGAUGUUGGAUGAAUGUUGGAUAGAUGCUGGAUGAAUGUUGGAUAGAUGCUGGAUGAAUGUUGGAUAGAUGCUGGAUGAAUGUUGGAUGAAUGUUGGAUGGAUGCUGGAUGAAUGUUGGUUAGAUGUUGGAUUAAUUUUGGUUAGAUGAUGGAUGACUGUUGGAUGAAUGUUGGUUAGGUGUUGGAUGAAUGUUGGUUAGAUGUUGAAUGACUGUUGGAUAAAUGUUGGUUAGUUGUUGGAUAAAUGUUGGUUAGUUGUUGGAUGAAUGUUGGAUGGAUUCUCAGUUACUGUAGUCUGAAAAAACACUAUUUAAACUCACUAUCAGCAGAGGGAACAAUAUUGGGUUUGAUUAAAGCCGUCGUUAUGCGAGAAAUAAAGAUCCUUUGAUUAUAAAUAUGUCUGCUUUUAUUGCCAAGUAUUUUUCAGAAAUGCUUCAGACACGGCAAAGUAGUAUUUUCAUUUUCAAAGAAAGCUGCCAUUUUGUUUUUAGGUUAACUGACAUCCUAAAAUAUGCCCCUUUUAAAAAUUUCUCCAGCUCCAGCUUUAAAAAAAUUAUCUGUGUUUUCAUAAUAUGAAGAGCAAACAGCCAUUAAAAUAUUGGCACACAGAAUCGUACGAGUCUGCAUGAACGCUACACUCAGGCAUCCAGUUUACACUCUGCAUCCUCUGUUGAUUCAACGUUUUAAUGAACCUCCUCGCUGAAUAUCUGGAGGCCAAAGGAAAGUCUUUCAUCUGCGAUCACACAAAAGAACAAAAACAACAUUCAUAUCUCUUAAAGUGCUCCAGAUAGAAAGAGGGACAAGGAGUUUCUGCAUCAGCCGCCAUAUCUUUUGUUUUCAUUCCUCAUGCUCGCUGGAGAAGAAAGUACUCGAACCACGGAAAAGUGAAAAGACGGGGCCCUGAGGUGAUGCUGUGCAGGUUGCAUAACGAACAUAAAGUGCCUGUUUACCUCAAGGACCCUCAGACAGAGACAUUCAAGAUGGAGCCGAAGAAGAGAGGGACGAAAUGUUCAAGCCUCUGCAAAUGUAGCAUGAAAUAGUAGAGAAGCAUCAAGGAGGUGCAGAUAUGACGAAGACCUCUGUCGCCCUGCAGAACUGAAGGACACCCGGAGUCACGUCAGCAUGUUGGACGUCUCUUUGGGCUGCAGGUGAUUUAUCUAAAUAACAGGAAAUGUCCAAUCAGGUUUUGGACAGGAAGAGACGGACCGCAGCGUCCUCUAAAUGUUCCCAAACCUCCACCCAGAGACCCUGACCAGCUGACCGGAUUGUGUGUGUGUGUGUGUGUGUGUGUGUGUCUAUCAUUUCACUGUCAGCAUGAUAAACUGCGACAGGAAGAGUUUGUCCUCCUGGAGGAAAACUGUUUUUGAUUUAUUGAAAAUAUAUCUAGAAUAAGCUGCAGGAGGAGAACAGUGACCAACAUACUGAGUUCUCUAAGACACCUCAUGUCACCUCCACCUGGACUAGGAGGACAAAGAACUGGACUAAAGGACCCGGUAUGGAAAAGAGAGGACAGGACACAGUCAGCAGAUUCCUAAAGUUCUCUGGACAGACACGGAGGAUCCAUCCUGAUCUAAGAAGUUCAACUUAAUCCUGGUCUGGUGAGUGACUCUGGAUGAGAGUGUCAGUUUAACGGCGUAACUGCUAAUAUAACUCAAUACUGACCAUAAUGGGCCGUGUGUUUACGCAGCACUCAGACAGAGGCUGCAGUGACGGCAGAAGAAUAGCGGAUUGUCCCUUUAAAUCCAGUUACUCUCUCAGACACGCUUUGGAAGAGUGAGAGUCAGCGAAAUACCUGACGGAGGAGGAAAAGGAAAGGUGGUGUGUGUCAUAAGAAGGAGGAGGAGGAGGUUGUAAAAUAUCAGCAGCAGACAGAUUGUUGAAGACGGAGGAACAUUUCAGUUGUGAUUAUUGGAGGGGCGUGUUCUGUUCAGGAUGUUAUAUAACACCACAGACGCAGAAUAAACGCCAAAGACCUUGAUGCACUUGACCUUCACAGGCCCACCUCUUUGACUUCCUGUCUGUGACCUGACAGCAGGAUGCAGAACCAGGACGUGAAGUUCUCUCCAACAACAAUAUCAGUCUGUUCACAUCUCUGUCAUUCAUUCACACUUAAAAAACAGCGAGUUUGUCUGAUUGGAAGUCCAAACCUUCAGCUGGAGUUUGUUGUGUUGGAUAAACUUAAAGAGUUUACAGAGGGACAACUUUAAAACCUCUCAGAGAAACAGAUCAGGGGUCAUUUUAAACUCAGAGGCCAUCUUUAACUGCCAGAAAAUAUCAAAACAUCGCUCUCUACUGGUCACAUGCAGAUGGUACAGCCAUCAUGUGCAGAAAAGACUCACUUUUCAGGCAUUUUAGAGAGUAGCUGAGAUUAACCUGAGGACUAAAAGUACACUGUUGAUAAACGUUGCUGUGUUUUAAGAUAAAUACUGAGUUUCCUCUCAAUAGAAACGUCAUAAACAGAUAUAGAAGCUACGAUUUAAAUGAUCUUAAAAGCACACACUCCAACAUGUGGCACAAGAAAGUUUGUCGUGUUGUUCUGCGUUUUAAUCGUUGAGGUUGGACUGUUGCAUGGAUCACGAAUGAAUUCAGAGUGUUUGGUUGCAUUUGCUUUAAGGCCGACAUGCUUUAAUUUACUCUGCCUUCAUAUUUAAAUCGAGCAGACUCAGGCUAUUUUCUGUCAUUGUGACCCUGAAAACACACUCUGAAUGAGUUGUGUGGGAUUGACUGAUAAUAUAUCCAUCAAAACAAUCAACUCUAAUAAUCAAAGUUACUUUACAAAUGAACAGAAAUAUGUGUUUGUUUACGUACGAGACACAGCAGCAUAACUUUAAUAAAGAUCCAAACUCUA